UACGUAGGGGGCAAGCGUUAUCCGGAUUUACUGGGUGUAAAGGGAGCGUAGACGGUUAUGCAAGUCAGAAGUGAAAGCCCAAAGCUCAACUUCGGGACUGCUUUUGAAACUGUGUAACUAGAGUGCAGGAGGGGUAAGCGGAAUUCCUAGUGUAGCGGUGAAAUGCGUAGAUAUCAGGAGGAACACCGGCGGCGAAGGCGGCCUGCUGGACCGCGACUGACGUUGAGGCUCGAAAGCGUGGGGAGCAAACAGG
rnacentral:rRNA from 1 species